GACGUAGGGUGCAAGCGUUGUCCGGAUUUAUUGGGCGUAAAGAGCUCGUAGGCGGUCUGUCGCGUCGGCUGUGAAAACCCGAGGCUCAACCUCGGGCCUGCAGUCGAUACGGGCAAACUAGAGUACUGCAGGGGAGACUGGAAUUCCUGGUGUAGCGGUGAAAUGCGCAGAUAUCAGGAGGAACACCGGUGGCGAAGGCGGGGUCUCUGGGCAGUAACUGACGCUGAGGAGCGAAAGUGUCGGGGAGCGAACAGG
rnacentral:rRNA from 1 species